rnacentral:rRNA from 1 species
AGUGAACGCUGGCGGUAGGCCUAACACAUGCAAGUCGAACGGCAGCACAGUAAGAGCUUGCUCUUACGGGUGGCGAGUGGCGGACGGGUGAGGAAUACAUCGGAAUCUACUUUUUCGUGGGGGAUAACGUAGGGAAACUUACGCUAAUACCGCAUACGACCUACGGGUGAAGGCAGGGGAUCUUCGGACCUUGCGCGAUUGAAUGAGCCGAUGUCGGAUUAGCUAGUUGGCGGGGUAAAGGCCCACCAAGGCGACGAUCCGUAGCUGGUCUGAGAGGAUGAUCAGCCACACUGGAACUGGGACACGGUCCAGACUCCUACGGGAGGCAGCAGUGGGGAAUAUUGGGCAAUGGGCGCAAGCCUGAUCCAGCCAUACCGCGUGGGUGAAGAAGGCCUUCGGGUUGUAAAGCCCUUUUGUUGGGAAAGAAAAGCAGCAGGUUAAUACCCCGCUGUUCUGACGGUACCCAAAGAAUAAGCACCGGCUAACUUCGUG